rnacentral:tRNA from 1 species
AGUUUUAUAGUCAAUAAUGAUUUUAAAUUGCAAAUUUAAAGGAGAGGGAUCCUCUAAAACUU